rnacentral:rRNA from 1 species
UGGGGAAUAUUGGACAAUGGGCGCAAGCCUGAUCCAGCAAUGCCGCGUGGGUGAAGACGGCCUGCGGGUUGUAAAGCCCUUUAGGUGGGGAAGAAGGAGGCUGGGUGAAGAGCCGGGUCUUUUGACAUUACCCACGGAAUAAGCACCGGCUAACUCCGUGCCAGCAGCCGCGGUAAUACGGAGGGUGCGAGCGUUAAUCGGAAUGACUGGGCGUAAAGCGUGCGUAGGCGGUAACGUCAGUCAGUCGUGAAAGCCCUGGGCUUAACCUGGGAAUGGCGAUUGAGACGGCGUAACUUGAGUGGGCUAGAGGACUGUGGAACUCCCGGUGUAGCGGUGAAAUGCGUAGAGAUCGGGAAGAACACCGAUGGCGAAGGCAGCGGUCUGGGGCCACACUGACGCUGAGGCACGAAAGCGUGGGGAGCAAACAGG